UACGUAGGGAGCAAGCGUUGUUCGGAAUUACUGGGCGUAAAGCGCACGUAGGCGGCUUUGUAAGUUAGAGGUGAAAGCCCGGGGCUCAACUCCGGAACUGCCUUUAAGACUGCAUCGCUUGAAUCCAGGAGAGGUGAGUGGAAUUCCGAGUGUAGAGGUGAAAUUCGUAGAUAUUCGGAAGAACACCAGUGGCGAAGGCGGCUCACUGGACUGGUAUUGACGCUGAGGAGCGAAAGCCAGGGGAGCAAACGGG
rnacentral:rRNA from 1 species